GUAACUGAGUUGGUAGAGCAUGAGACUCUUAAUUUCAGGGUUGUGGGUUUGAGCCCCACAUUGGCA